AAUGAACGCUGGCGGCGUGUCUUAAGCAUGCAAGUCGUGCGGCAAGGGUAGCAAUACCCCUAGAGCGGCGGACUGGUGAGUAACGCGUGGGUGAUCUGCCUCUGGGAUGGGGAUAGCCAACUAGAAAUAGUGGGUAAUACCGAAUACGUUCGUCGGGCUGUGGCCUGACGAGGAAAGGCGCUUCGGCGCCACCCGGAGAUGAGCCCGCGUCCCAUUAGCUAGUUGGUGAGGUAACGGCCCACCAAGGCGAUGAUGGGUAGGCGGCCUGAGAGGGUGUACGCCCACACUGGGACUGAGAUACGGCCCAGACUCCUACGGGAGGCAGCAGCUAAGAAUAUUCCGCAAUGGACGAAAGUCUGACGGAGCGACGCCGCGUGGAUGAAGAAGGCCGAAAGGUUGUAAAAUCCUUUUGUUGGGAAGAAUAAGCGUGGGAGGAAUGCCCGCGUGAUGACAUGAACCGACGAAUAAGUCCCGGCUAACUACGUGCCCAGCAGCCGCGGUAAUACG
rnacentral:rRNA from 1 species